CUGCAGCUCAAGUGGUGACCGCUAUUAUUGGGCCUAAAACGUUCGUAGCCGGCUGAGUAAAUGCCUGGGUAAAUCGUGCCGCUUAACGGUACGAAUUCCGGGUAGACUGCUUAGCUUGAGACCGGGAGAAGCUAGAGGUACUCCUGGGGUAGGGGUGAAAUCCUGUAAUCCUGGGGGGACCACCAGUGGCGAAGGCGUCUAGCUAGAACGGGUCUGACGGUGAGGAACGAAACCCUGGGGCGCAAACCGGAUUAGAUACCCGAGUAGUCC
rnacentral:rRNA from 1 species